GAGCGACACAAGUCCCCAGUGGUAGUAGGAGCUAGCACUGGAGCUGAUAGAUCGAAGAGGAGAGAGAGAGAGAGAGAGAUAGAGAGGGAAAAUGUACAUGGAGUGCUGUCGGUAACAGAUAGAGAGAGGGAGAGGGAGAAACUAUGAUAUUUCAUCAAGGCUAAAGGGAGAAGAGAGAGAGUACAGCCUUGUUGCCAUCUUCUUGAUGCAAAGAAAGUUGCAUACUACACACACCUGGGGAGCUCUUGUGAUGAAGCAAGCGUUAGAUCUGGAUCACGUACGUACUACACAGCAGCCACGCAUCAGAAGUUCAGAACUCGGUGCAACUCUAACUUUUGGCCAGUUUCGUUUUUCUUUUCGUUUCUUUCAAACAGCUCCUCAUAGCACAUGCAUGCAUCCUAUAGCUACAUUCUCUGUCAGCUUAUUAAUUAGUACAUAUUUCGUGUAUAUAUAUAUGGCGUAUGUGUUAAUCAUUUGCACGUACAGGUAGGCACACCGUAUAUGUAGGCAGAACUAAAUGCUUCAAAUUUGCAAAUUUCAAGUUUUCCGCGAAAGAAACUAAUUUCUCCAUUCAGAUAAAGUAAGAUGUCUCCUCUAGUUACCGUUUGUUUUUAGUCAUCAUGCACUGUUUUCUUCUAUCUAGUUAUCCUUUGCCGAGUUUUUUUUACCGGUUGUUUUUUUUUGUUAGACACUCGGCAAUGAACUUUUUUGUCAAGUGUCCGAAAAAAACACUCGACAACUUGUUUGACACUCGGUAAAGAGCCAGAUUCUGAUAGUGAACCAUUGCUUGCUGAGUCGUCUCAAUCCACUUUCACUAUCAAAACUAAGCAAAAUGGGAUGAGAUUGAAUGAACAUGAUGGACGACUAUAUAUCAGUCAGUUAUCAUAUACCAAUUGCUCAUCACCUUGGCAAAAUAUACAGAGCGGAGCUUUUUGCUUGGCUGCGUAACUCCGUUUCACAUUUAAUCUAUAGAUAGAUAGAUGGAUUGACCAGUAUGGAGUGCAGCGGCGUUUGGAUUUCAGACACACAAAUAUCGAGUCCCCACAAACGACUCCGGCUGCUGAAUGGCUGUGUCACUGUGUGACAUAGCUGACACACAUCCCCUAACACGGCCCAGAAGCGAACCUGACCUCGGCCUGUUUAUAUUCUUUUAUACAAGCAAAAAGCCCAAUACGUUAGCCCGCCCAUGGUAUAUCUAUAGUAUGUUAACUUUUUUAUAUAUAAGAUGAUGUGAACCUCACUGACACUGAGCCAUGCAUGAGUGGUAAGAUGUGUGACUUGCAAUUUGAUUUCUCUGCACCGUAUAUGAAUUAAGACAUCAGAGAUAACAUGAAAUAUGACAGUAAGAAAUUUCUACAUAUGAUUUUUUUUCAAAUAAGUUUUCUUUUUCCAUUUUAUCGGCCUUCAUAUGUUCUCAAUGAUCCAUUUCUGCAACGAGGGAAUAGAAGUUAUUAGUGACACCAUAUAUACUAAUAGAAACUUCUGUAAAUAAUGAAGGCAUUUAUUGUGGUUAUAUAUACUGUGGUUAUUGAGUCGUUUGAAGUGGAAUACAGAGUAUAUAUAUAGACAGUUGAGUGGAAUACAGAUAGUAGUCAGACCAAUGUACAAUAUCAUAGUAUAUUUCAUAGGUUACAUCUUACAUGUUGAUGCAAAUUCAUGAUGGAGAGGUCAAAUGAUAAGUGGCGUCGUGCGCACUGAGAUGGUCAAGUCAUGCACGACAAACAAUCUUAAUUUUUGGUGCAGUAUGCUGAUGUUAUUGCAAUGGAACAGUAGGUGGUUGAGAUGAGCUCACCAUAUUAUUAUUGGAAGGAUUAUUAUAAAAAGGUUGAUGUGUUGCAAUGAAAUUGUAAGGCGGUGGUGUUGCAUCAAUAAAGGAUUUAUUGCCAAGAAUUGGCAGUGGACAGUUGUGGAA